AACGCACGAGACCUGCGGACCUGCGGAAGGAUCAUUACAAGUGACCCCGGUCUAACCACCGGGAUGUUCAUAACCCUUUGUUGUCCGACUCUGUUGCCUCCGGGGCGACCCUGCCUUCGGGCGGGGGCUCCGGGUGGACACUUCAAACUCUUGCGUAACUUUGCAGUCUGAGUAAACUUAAUUAAUAAAUUAAAACUUUCAGCAAUGGAUCUCU
rnacentral:misc_RNA from 1 species